CGCGUAGGCGGCUUUUCAAGUCAGGGGUGAAAUCCCGAGGCUCAACCUCGGAACUGCCCUUGAAACUAGAUGGCUAGAAUAUUGGAGAGGUAAGUGGAAUUCCGAGUGUAGAGGUGAAAUUCGUAGAUAUUCGGAAGAACACCAGUGGCGAAGGCGACUUACUGGACAAUUAUUGACGCUGAGGUGCGAAAGCGUGGGGAGCAAACA
rnacentral:rRNA from 1 species